UGAUGCGAGAGGGUCAGGAGAAGCGACGGAAGGAAGUAAGGAACGGACGUCCAAGUGCGUUGAUACCCUGAGCAUCGCGGAUGACAUUGACGAAGCGGUCAUAGUCGUAGGCGAGGAGGAUGACCUGAGGAGUCGUUUCUUCUGGUUGCGGCCAGGGAAGCGCAGCGCGACGGAGGCGCUCCAGAAGUGGACUCGCGAGGACUGCCCUCACGCCAGAGCUCUCCUGUAUCGUCCGAGAUCUGAGCCUUGACAGUUGAUUCAAGCACUCCCUUUAGGAAUCUGUGCGGUCUUCAGGAAGAUGUCGCCAGGAGACUCGUGGAGGAUGUUUCAACUUGCAAAGAGAAAAUGGCUGAACGUUUCUAGUAAAUAUUAGCUCAAAAGAUCCAAAGCGGGAGCUGGUGAUGAGAUUUAGAGGGAUGAAGACUCAAGAACAGAUGUGGGAUUCAUGGGCGCUUGGAGGACUACAGGCAGGCCUUACCUGACCACCUCCUCCAGCUGGUUGUAUAGCUAUUUCAGUUGCAUGUCUAAACUCCGAAUUUACUCAACUGUGAAUAACAUAUCAAUUCAACAUUUAUUUUUAGGCUAAUCAAGCUAACAAUUGUGUGCACAUCGAUGGCAGUCUGAAGCAGAUCAGAUUGCAGCCAUUGUUUGUUAAGCUCCUGAGUGGACGCAUUGAAGGGGUGCUGCGAAGCCUGCCAUUGAAGGAUCAAGAGUCAAGAAUCAAGAUGCAAUUACCAUCUAUAUUUUGCGUUGUGCACCAAAGCCGCGUCAGUUUUUGCACGGUGUGACGAGCCACAGUACAGAGGUAGAGAGAGCUUGGUAGAGAGAGAAAGAUUGAGUGAAUUGUUCAUGAUCUUUUUUUGGCCUUCUUCUUGCAUCGCUCACGCUACUUCGUCGUGCCAAAUGAACGCCUGACGUUUUAGGCAUACCAGAUAGAAAAGGAGCAGUAUGCAAGGUCAAGAUGAGGCCAAUUCUAGGGCGCAGCUGAUGAAGUAGUGAGCAAGGAUUUGUUUUCUGUCAGCUCAUAAUAGGCGAGUUCCUCUUGCUCUUUGGAUUCAUUUGCUUAUGGUGUGCACACCUAGGUUAAGAUAUGUUGUGUAUAUCACCUUUUGAUGCAAUGUUAUUUAUUAGGCUCACCUACAAGUCUGAAUCUAUUAACUUUUAUCAACUUAAUAACUUGGAUAAGAAGGUUUAGCUACUAUAGUAUUCGGUAGACCAAACAUUAUUUGUGUUAUUGUAUAAGCUCAAAUUACUGCCUGGUACCAGUAUUAGUUUGUCAGACCAGGUGCUGCUGCAAGUAUAUUCAGAUCAACAACCUGAUCUAAAAUUACAGAAAUAGACUACUUUGUGUUAGCAAUAGGGAGAUGUAUUUAUUGUUUUCAAUGAAUGGGGACCUUUCUUCUUAUGUAUGAUCGUUGAUGUUUUGAAUUUUUGGCAUCUGGGGUGUUUUGAUUUGCACAUGCUAAAAGACGAGAAAUUUGGCCUUCGUGUUUGCAGUUCACCAGCUCAAUUAUUUUCUGUUUAUUUGGAGUAACGAAUACAUCAUCACUUUGUAGCUGUUGACAAGGUAUGUUCCCUUCCUACAGGUUUUCAGGAAUGCCGGUUCUACAUAUACAUAUUAUUUGUCUCAUAUUGUAAAAAAAAAAUCUGUACAAAUGGGCUCUCUCGCGUAGUGCAAUUUUUCGUAUUUAAGAGAAUGUGCUCAGCAUCAGAGAACAUGGAAUAGAGAGAAUUCAGAAGCAGUUGCUGCACUAGCCAAGAAAAGGCACAACAUUGCUGGAUCAGUGAGCGUUGACGAGAAGAAGCAAUAAUAUUCAGAGCACGUGCCUUGGUAUAGUGAUCUUACAUGUUUAGGUUUAGUUUGAUGCAUGUGUGCCUCAGUAUAUACUUUGUUAUGUAGUCAGUGUUCUGUAUCCGUAGGUGUCUGAUCCUCAAUGAUCUUUGUAAUGCAUCUGAAUCAAUAUCAGCGCUGGUCUUUUUCUAGCCGUGCA